GGGUCGUUAGCUCAGUUGGUAGAGCAGUUGACUUUUAAUCAAUUGGUCGCAGGUUCGAAUC
rnacentral:tRNA from 2 species